rnacentral:rRNA from 1 species
AUUGAACGCUGGCGGCAGGCCUAACACAUGCAAGUCGAACGGUAACAGGAAGCAGCUUGCUGCUUUGCUGACGAGUGGCGGACGGGUGAGUAAUGUCUGGGAAACUGCCCGAUGGAGGGGGAUAACUACUGGAAACGGUAGCUAAUACCGCAUAACGUCGCAAGACCAAAGUGGGGGACCUUAGGGCCUCUUGCCAUCGGAUGUGCCCAGAUGGGAUUAGCUAGUAGGUGGGGUAACGGCUCACCUAGGCGACGAUCCCUAGCUGGUCUGAGAGGAUGACCAGCCACACUGGAACUGAGACACGGUCCAGACUCCUACGGGAGGCAGCAGUGGGGAAUAUUGCACAAUGGGCGCAAGCCUGAUGCAGCCAUGCCGCGUGUAUGAAGAAGGCCUUCGGGUUGUAAAGUACUUUCAGCGGGGAGGAAGGGAGUAAAGUUAAUACCUUUGCUCAUUGACGUUACCCGCAGAAGAAGCACCGGCUAACUCCGUG